rnacentral:rRNA from 1 species
GAUCAUGGCUCAGGAUGAACGCUAGCUACAGGCUUAACACAUGCAAGUCGAGGGGCAGCAUGGUCUUAGCUUGCUAAGGCCGAUGGCGACCGGCGCACGGGUGAGUAACACGUAUCCAGCCUGCCGUCUACUCUUGGACAGCCUUCUGAAAGGAAGAUUAAUACAAGAUGGCAUCAUGAGUCCGCAUGUUCACAUGAUUAAAGGUUUACCGGUGUAAGAUGGGG